CUUGGAUUCACUUUAGCAAAGCUGAGAAUGUUCAGAGGAUUUAAUGACAAAAUUGGGACGAAACAAAUAAAUAACAUAUAAAAAGAAGAAAAUUAUCACAUCCAAAAGAUAGAUGUUAAAAUCUCUAGAGAGGUAGGUAUUUGAAUGUAUCUGUAAUUGAAAAUUCCUUACCCAAUUCACCAAACAAAAUAAAUUACACAAUUAAAUAAUAUGAAGCAAUAAGUAACUCUUAUCUGUAACAUGCUGACUCUAGUGACUCUAGUGAAAAGGGGGGAAAAAGGGGGGCAGUGUCAUGUUAAGAAUCAUAAGAAAAAAAAUUCAGUGCUGUCACAAACUCAAUAACUAUUUCUUAUUAUCUAGAAACAUAAGCAAAUCAAUGGGAAAAAUGGCUUGUCUGUCAUAUAACAGCCAUUUUUUUAAAAUCACUGGUCACUCAAAAGAAGUAAUUAGUAUUUCAGUGAGAUUUAAAAUCUAUGAAUUGUGAAUCACAAAUUUAUGGAGAUUAAUAUUCGUUAAAUGGCUAAUAUAAAUGGUGGGGCUAGGCCCCAUCUGCACCUACAGACAAGCCACUACUGAGUGUGCUCCAUAAAAAUAAGAAAAAAUACAUUAUUUGAAAUGGCCUAUUCAAGAUUCAUUGGUGGUCAUUCAUAAGUUCACUUAAAUGACAAUUUCUGGUAUUGAGUGGGUUAUAUGUGGUAACAUAAUUUUAUGAAUUUAGUAUUCUCAAAUAAAAUACUAGCUAAUGAGCUAGUAUUUUUGCUAUUCUGCCAACUAACUUCAUUAUAAUGAAGUCUCCUCUGCUAUAUAUUAUUAAUAUGACUCAAUUACUCAACCUCUAAAAUUAAUUGGAGUCUUUUGGACCAGUAUUUUUAAAGGGCUGUUAUCUAAAAGCUUGACAGUGUGCUGUUUUGCUUCUGCGCUAACUGAGACAUUUUGAGUCAAAAGAACCAAAAACAGAGCCAAAACAGCACACUGUCUAUGUCUGUAUGACUUCAGGGCUAACCAUUCAAUAAAGCAAAUCAAUGAAAGCGGGAGAGUGACUAUGAAGAAUCAUGAUGUGAUGUUGUAUGUUAAAUCAUUGAGAACACAUUUAUAGUUUCCUUGUGUCAAUGCCAUCCUCAUUAUACAUUCUAAUUUGAUUUUUGAAUUUUUGCACAUUGAAAUUUGAGUAUUGAGGUACUCUGUGUUCUCCCUAAAUCUUUCUGAAUUUGUAAUAUAGCCGUACUUCAGAAUUUCUGACUCUGAAAAAGAAUGUAAGUAAAAGAAAAAAAGAAUGGGAAUGGUAGAACCUUCAUUACUAGGGGGGCAUGGGGAAUAGGGCAGGAACAGUGUGGUAUAUUCAUGGAAUGAGCUUGGGACAAUCAAAUAUCAGAGUUACAUGCCAUACAACACACACUGGAAUGGGGUGAGCUGAGUAGCUCAAUGGCGGAGGGAGUUUUGGUCAGAUUAAGACCAUGGAAGGAGCUGUCAUCUUGGUUAUUGGCAUAGAACAUUCUAAAAUAUCUGGUUCCUGGUUGGCUGUAAGCAGGUUGGGUAAUGGGAUAAGGGGGAAAGUAUCACCAACGAGCAUAGCGACUUGGAAAAGUGGUCUAUGAUGACCAUAAUGACUGUGUGGUUCGGGGACACUGGAAGGUUGGUGAUACAUUCCUGCCAGAUAAUACCAUGGUCACUGUGGCAUAGGAAGUGAGACUAGUUUACCAGCUGGUAGGGUUCUUGCGACUUUGGCCUAGACACAAGAGGAACAUGAGAAGAUGAAUUUGUGGAUAUCCAUGAGCUUGUUGGGCCACCAAUAUUUACUCUGGAGCAGUUGAUGGGUUUUGUGGGUGUCCAGAUGCCCAGUUGCUGGGAAUGUGUGUGCCCAAGAUUAACUGUCUUUAGGUACUGUAGGCUUUUGUGACCAGUGUAGAUGACAAACACUGCCCCCUGUAGCAGUUGAUGGCACUUCUCCAGGCCCAACUUGAUGGCGAGUAGCUCACAGUUACCAAUGUCAUAAUUUCUCUCAGCUGGUGACAGUUUCAUAGAAAAGAAAGCCACUAUAUAGAGUUUUGGUCUUUCUCCAAAUCUUUAGGAUAACACUGUCCACACUUCAGUUUCAGAGGCAUCUACCUCUACAAUGAAAGGCUUUAAUGGGUCUGGGUGUUUCAACAUGGGGGCUGUGGUAAAGGCUUUCUUGAGCUGCAGGAAGGCCUCCUCUGCAGCAGGGUUCUAUCUCAGUCUUUUAGGUCCUUUUUUCAAAAGAGAAGUGAGGGGGCCACAAUGGAGCUGAAGUGUCAGAUGAACCUCCAGUAAAAAUUCACGAACCCCAGAAACCUCUGUAGUUCUUUGACUGUGGUGGGUACCAAGAAACUUUGUUCAGAGCUACCCAAGGAAUGAGAUCAUCACAUGGAACUAACACUAGUGUCCCUUGACAUAUAGAUGGUUCUGGAGGAGAUGAGACAGUACUUGCCUAACAUGGACAAUGUGAGUCUCUAGGGGAGGUCAUUAUGUUGUCUGUGUAUGCGAUCACAUAUUUCCCAAGCAUGUCCUUAAAGACGUCAUUGAUCAGGCACUGGAGCACAGAGGACAUGCAAGAUAGCAUUACACAGUUCUUUAAGUGGCCAGAGGUGGUGCUAAAGGCCGUCUUCCACUCUUCUCCCUCUCUCGUGAAUAAGAUUAUAGGCACUGUGCACAUCUGGUUUGGUGAAAAUUCAGGUGCUUCAACAAUGUUUCAGUUGGGCAGAGUUUGACAGUAUUUAACUAUAAUCUAGUUUGGUCCUCAAUAAUCAAUGCAGAGUCCACCCCAUUUUUUCUCCACAACAUAAAAUCCACCUGAUGAAGGAGAGGUGGAGGGGCAAAUAUAGCCCUGUUUUAGUGCCUCAUCAAUAUAUUCCUCAAUGGCUCAUUCUAUCCACUGCCAGCGGUGAGUGUGCAAAACUUCAGCGCGAAAUCAGCGGUGCUCCCUUUUACCCUGUUUGGCAGAUAGAUGUUGCUCUCCUAUUUUUUUCCCUUCCAGAGAGUGAUCAAAACUUGUUGAAAUAGUUUGAUGAAGCAGUCAUAUGACAUGAUAUACUCCUCUCAUGUGAUAUGAUAUGGUCCCCCUCCCUCCCCAGACAUGUGAUGAGUGAGGGAGCAGAGUGAGACGGUGCCACCGGUGCAGCUAGUGAUGGUGUCAGCAUGUUUGUUAGCUGCAUGAGUUUAGUGCUGAGCAUGGUGAACUAUUUCUGCUGCUCACUGACUAGCCAGCCUUGAGCCACUAGUACUUGCUGCUAGUCGAGCACACCUGCUACAUCUAUGCUGAUGGCGAACUAUUCUGGCAGGCAAAAGAGGCUGCAGUUGCAGGUGAAAUGCUUUAUUUUUCCAAAACUGUCAAACAAUC